ensembl:lncRNA
CUGGAGGUGUUCAAGAAAUGCAUAUAGAUGUGUUACUGAGGGACAUGGUUUAGUGGGUAAUACUGGUGGUAGGUGAAUGGUUGGACUUGAUGAUCUUGGAGGUCUUUUCCAAUCUUGGUGAUUCUAUGAUUCUAUUAUGAGGCUCUGGUAAUUGUUUUGUAGUGAACCAUGAGAGGGCAGUGUAACUGAGUACGUGUGUCUUCACACUUGCUGGUGCAGGGUCUGUUCAGUGCCUGGUCCUUCCUUGUCACACCGUGAUUCAGCCCCACUCCUACCCUCUGCUUUGUGUUUUAACCAGUUUUCCUCUGAAGACAGAAAAAUAUGGUUUUAAUUUGGAGACUGCUUCUAGGCUUUUCAUUCUUCUCAAAGCCAUUCAUUCUAGGACAGACAACAUUUUCCUUCUGUUUCAGCCUCAGAUUCUGGAACCAUUGAGGUAAAUUGCCUCUAUUUAUCCAGCUUUUAGUUAUAAAGCCCUUGCCACUUCCAGAAUUUUUUUCCUUGACACUCUAUCAACAGUUGGGAGAAAAGCGUUAUCUCCUUUCUGUGGGCAUAGAAUGAAGAGAUAAAAUAGCAAUUCUGAUGCCAAAGCUGAAAGCCUUCCUGCCCAGCCUACAGACACCAUCACUUCAUCCACCCUCUUCUAUCUCCUCUUCCCAAGUGGUACAGGGGAAUGGGGCUGCGGUCAGUCCCAAACACUUCAUCACUGCCAUUCUUCCAUGAUCACCUCUCUGCCUCUGUUUCACAUGGGGUCCCUCCCAUGGGAUGCUGUCCUUCCCCAGCUGAUCUUAUGUUGACUUCCCACAGGCUGCAGUUCUUGAAGCACUGCUCCAACAUGGGUUCAUACCAUGGGCCCCUCCUUCAGGAGCUACUCCAAUAUGGCUCUGUAACACAGGGCCCACCAUGGACAGCAGCUCUCCCAGCCCUCCUCCCACACUGUGGCCCCUCUCCAUGGGCUGCAGCUCUGGCUCAGGCCCUGCUCCUCUGGGGGCUCUCCCACGGCUGCAGCCGCCUCCAGGCCACAUCCACUGCUGCGCCGUGGGCUCCUCCAUGGCUGCACAUGGAGAUCUGCUCCAUGUGGUUAUCUUCUGCCGGUAAGGCUCUUCUCUUAUUAAGAAGAUAAUAGCCAGACAUCUUUAAAAUAGCUAUUUAAGGAUUUCAUGCAGGGUGGAAAAACUUCAGCUCUACAAUAUAGCCAAUGCCACACCUGCUGAGCAAGGCUCCUCCAGCCUCUGGGAGCUGUGAGCACUAUGCAAAGGGCUCUAUAUGCCUACAGAAGUACCUUUGCCUUCUAGAUGUCUCAUUUUGUAAAAAAAUGGUAGACAUGACCUCCAUGCCUACCUUCAGUAAGGAGCUCUCCCCAUAGGACAGCUUCCUUGAGGCAGCUAGCUGGUGACAGUGCUCUUCUUAAGCACUGGAGUGACCAUGUUCUGCUUGAAAAUCUAAUCCUAAGUGACUUGUCCAAGUUAAAAUAGAUAAUUUAUUCUGAAGCCAAGAUUUCAAUACAGUUUAAAUUUGCAUCACAUACCUCAAAACUUCUAAAUAGAAUUGCCUCAGUAGAGGGCUACUAUAUUAUCAAAUCGUACUCAAGGAUGCUGCUGAUGUAUAUGUGGCUGUAUCAAGGCUAGCUGUAGUAAACCAUUCAUUGCUCAAUAUCAUUUAAAGUGGGUUCCAUAUAUUUAUGACUUUAUACACUUAGCUUCAGACAUUUUAUUACGAUAAAGAUAAGCUUUCAAAAUAAACAUGUGUGUAUCAUUUUAUAGUGUAAGGAAAGUGACCCUCAUUCCUACCUUGCCUAGUUUUCCUGUUUUAAAAUUUCUUGUCUGGGAUUUGGCUGAUCUGUAAAACCUUACUUGAAUUAUUUCAGAAUAAGUCUGAAGCCUGGGAAACAUUUUCCUGCUAUUCUCCUCACCCCCAGAAAAUCCAUUCAUAUUUUAAAAACUUAAAAUAAAACGAGGAAUUUGCCUGUUCCCAACUGUGAUUUGCUCUUUACAUCUUUUGGAGCAUUGCCAGAAGCUCUCAUCAGUCCAUUAGUGAUGUAUAGAUGGCUAUUCCAAAAUAACAUAUGGCUGGGGACGAGACAUAUAUGUACACGAAAAUAACGGCUGCUGAUUUUGCUAUCAAAAUGCUCUUUGACCUUGACCUUUGUCUGCACUAUAUUAUUAAUUUAAGUCCUGUGUUGUCUCUUCACUUGUAAUAGGUGUUAUGUGUGGCCUUCAUUGCUAACAAAUGGAUACAGAUAUCACAAAUGGGGAAUAAAAUCACAGCACCCCCAAAACCCAAUCUGUCCGCUGGGUUUCUUACUCUUUGCACAACCUCAGCACCCUCCUACUAACAGAGCACAGGAAUAGAAAUAAUAUUAGAAGAUAUUAAACUUGCUUUUAGUACAGAAUAAUUUUAUUUGAAAUCACUAGCCUAAUCCCAAUUGAAUUUAUUUGAUGAAGCACAAGCCCUUGGUGUAGCACAGAUACCAUUUUUUUGGUGUGAAAGCAUAGAUUCUUGCUUAAAAAGAUUUAUAUGAUAUUAAUGACAUAGCUGCAUUUAGAUUGCAUGAAUCAGUAUGUGUCAUAAACUGCUUGAACACUCGUUAAACCUGAUAAAUUAAAUAACCCUCCUGGGCUGGAGAGAGAUGUUGCUGUUAGAUUUUAUGAUAUAUCAUACAUCACAUCUGUUUGUUAUUGUUCUACCCAUGUUAUCCUAUGUGUAAAAGGGAUAAAGCCAGCAGGAGCAAGUCCCACUUAUUUUGGAGGAAACAGCUGCUCUGCAAAUAGGAGAUAGUGGAAAAAAUCUGGAAAUCUGCUGGAGGUCUCCCUGAUAGCCUCAGGAAACACUGCAAGACUUGUCUACAUGGAGAGAGAGCCUGGAGAAUGUUAUUAUGUUAUUAUUAGUUAUUAAACUUCUUUUUUUUUUUACUUCAGUAGAGCAGCUUGUAUUCCAAUUUCAAUUGUUGGACUGUGGAAGUGCAGCCACAGGGGCUUGCUGAUCCUUUGCUUGGGUCUCUCAGGCUGGAGCCUGGUCUCCAGCAAUACUGAUUUGUGUCUCCUCUUCCCAGGCAGUGCUGGACUGGGGCCCAGAUCUGCAUUUCAGCAGUGCUCUAAACUUGGUUAAGGCUUGGGUGAAGGGCCAUCACUGACCACUUCUCAAUUUCACUGAACACAGGCUCUCAGGGCCCACCUUUGACGGUUCCCUACCUUUCACAUCAGCUUUUGCUGUCUCUCAAGGUGGUUACUGCAUGCCAUGGUGCCAUCACCCACUUGUUAAACUUUUCAACAACCGCCCAUAAUACGUUCUUCCAUCGGGCCCUCAGGCUUGGGAGAGCCACCCUGUAAACAGCCGCCAAGCUCCAUCAUUACCUGCCUUCCAAGCUCUUAUUUAAGUUCUCCUUUGCAAUAUGACUUAAGAAAAAGCCACCUCUGAUUUUAUGCAGACUACAAAAGUAUAUCAUGCUAAAUAAUAUACAUUCUUUUUUCAUCAUUUCCCAUAUUUCCUGUCUAGUUUUUAUUUCUUUGACUAUAAACUCUUUGGGAUAAGAAAUGUAUUCUCAUGCGUUUGUUAUUGAGACUCCGAGAAUUGAGAUGAUGUAAAUACACAGUAGGAUAAAUAAAGUGGAUCUUCUCUUUCAUUCUUCUUUUUCAUUAAAGAGGAGAACAUGCCUAAACUUCUUGUUGAUCGGAUGAACUGAACUCAUCUCAGCCUAAUCCUCUCACCUGAUACUGACGUUGUUUCUAAGGUAAUAAGGGGUUGUUAGCACUGGGAGACGUGAGAACACCUCAUUUCAUUUCAUGAUAUAAAAUUCUUAUUCUCUAACACUGCAUUUUGUCGAUAAGCCACUGGAGGGACACCUCCACUACAAAACCAAACCCAGCGCAACCUGCAGGAGAGCUCCCAGCCCCGCUCGCUCCUGCUGCCUCUCAGAUGGAAGACUCCAGCCAGAGGCGGUUAUUUUUCUGGUUAACAAUUAUUUCUGGUUAAAAAUGAAAACUCUAACUUCACCUCGAGUCAUUCGUUCUGCAAACACAGGAGGAAAAGAAAGAAAGGCAAAACGCAUUGUGUAUCGCUUCAGCCUGGCGUUACAGCUCACAACUUCAUUGAGGGGAUUUCACAAUGUUCCUGCAAAGUCCAAUUUGCAGCUGCAGUAUUUCCCUUUUCUGUAUCAGGACUACUUCUGUUAUUACAAGCCACCUCUUGCCAGAUCCCAAUUUCUUCCAGACUACAUCACCUAAUAUUUACAGCCCAUCCGCUGCUUUCCUGUGAGAAGAAAAAUCACCCAGAAAAAGUGUCAAUCCGGGGAAGAGAUGCCAAAUGUGUCUGAAACAUAUCGUGGUGCAGAUAGGAUUCUAUUUUUGUCUGGAACAGAAGGCAGGAAGCAUUUAUGUUCCUCAGUAUCUAAAUUUAUCUUCCAAAGAAUAUUUAUUAAAGUCACCAUAGAAACAGUAAUUUAGAACUCUUAUUCCAGUUUUUUUUUUACAAUUACUAUUUGCUCUACAGCUUGAUCUGUUACAUAGAAAAUAAUGAACAGCUCAAGAUCUGUCACAACCUUAUUCUGUACGUUUUUGCUCCUUGAUGGGAAAGCAUAUCUUGUGGCACGUGAAACAGAACUGCUGUGGACCGUUUUCGUACCCUGACAUUUAGAACCAGUGUCCCCCAGUUAGCCCAGCAGUGGGACACAGCCCGAGGCGUUCUCUCUGUGUUAUGGAGGCGAUUGCACACACUGCCUUCCUGCCUGAUUUCCUCAUGCUGAUCGCUUCGGUGUGAAUGCCUCUGAGAUGAGAACUACUCUGGGCAGUGAGCUCCCUGUAAACAAGCAUCCUACAAGUGCCAAGCUCAGAAAUAACUGUUUGCAUGUGCUGAAAAACAACUUUUGUCAUUAGAAUUGUUCCACAAAGAAGCAAACAGGCUAUACACCCACCCAUGUGGCACAGCAUUUCAUGCUAUUUAGAAUGGUGGCUAUUGCAGGUUAACAAUAAGAGCUGCAUAGUUUAUGAUACAACCUACAGUGAACUUCCUAUCUUUGAAGCUUCACCUUUCUUCUCCGAUGCAUUUUCUAAAUGCAACAAUGUAAUCCUGUAUGCACAGGUUAUAUUUAUCACAGCUGGCUUAGGCUGAGACAGAAUUAAUUAGGAAGUGCCUCAAAUGUCAGAUCAUUAAAUGAAAUUCUAAGAAGGUAAAUUGUAGUCUUCGGUGAGCAGAUAUGGCACAAAAUGAAUACAGAUCCCUGGAACAAAUUGCAGCUGCCGUGAAAUAUUCAUUUCUUCUUUCCAGUUGCUUCCUGGGACAACGUCCAUGGUGCUACCUAAACACCAAAACUUCCUAAUUUGAUGCGAAGGUCGGCAUGGAGGUCAUGAUGAAAAAUUUCGUUUAGUCUCCGAGGAACGACUAAACAUUGAACAAAUAUUUAAUUUGCAUUUUACAUUGCUAUUGAAUAGACUUUCCUUCUUCAAAAAAUCCCCCCGGAGUUUAUCUCAGUUCUUCCUUUCUUUGUUGAAAAAUUACAGGAGUAAAGGGAAAAAAACCAGGUAUACAUACCAAGCAGCUCACAUUUUAGAACAGCUUUCCUUUUACUGUGUUCGUAUCAAGAAAGGUAUCGCAAUAGCGAAAGAAAGGAAAACUCAGAGUGCUUUUUAUGCAUUCUAAUUGAAAGGAUCAACUUUUACCCUGAAAUCAAUAUUCAAACUCAGUUGUAGAAAUGGAUUUUAAUGGAAGAAAUGUGUAAUAAACAUACUUUCCAAGCUCCCAUGGUGAGGGCUGCUGUCUUGAUACACUGUUUGGCAGCAGAAUUCCACAUCAAGAUGCAGUUACUUGCAUUACAAAAGGUAACAAGUUAAGACAGAAAGCAGCAUGUGGGGGACAGCAUGCUAUCCUCCUCCCUUCUCCCUCUUUCCUCCCCAAAUCAAUCUGUUUUGACUAAAUCACUUUCAGCAACCGCAUCAAGGCACCGCCAUUAUGGCAAUGGAUGGUUUGAAGGGGGCCCCAUCCAUUUGCUGGGGUAUUUUGCUGACCGUUUUGUGAGUAUAUGGGCCCUUACUGCUUGCUGACAUGAUGAAGAGCAGCCUGACUACAUGUGCAAACACAGGAAGACAGAAAACAGCCUUUGCAUUCUGCCCUGACUUCUCAUGCUCCUUCCCUCCUGUAUGCUGAACCUCUUGGAUCUGGUGCUCCUCACCUUCAAGCUGUAUCAUCUUAGGUAUCACUUAAAAAAUGCUGAUGCUCAAGGGACGUCCAGGGAGAGUGAUGGGAUGAAAAUCAGGUCAUCAGCUCCUGAAGCUGGUACUACACCUGGCACAGGAGUAGAAAUGGAAAGUGGG